CAACACGGGGGGAGGGGGGUGCUAAGGAGGAAUAACCCACAUCCACCUCAGUCUCCUCCUCCCCCAACCCCUGCCUCAGGAACUGGCCAGGUCGAAUUGCAUUUCCCAUGGGCAUAAAGUUCAAGAUGCUUUACUGGUUCCUUUCGAGACUGAACUACAGACACAGGACGACCAUCCAAACAAUUUGAAAACGGGGGGCAUUGAGCAAGGCGCGCAAGGCAGAAGCAACCGAAUAAACAAAAACAACACUCGCAAGAGUUAGCCACAGCAAAGAGGGGCCAGGUUCCUCGGGAUCCGACCCAGCUGCUCUGAUUUCACACCGACCUCCAUCAACAGCUAAACUGCACAGGGAGGAGGAUCGAACGGAUCCCUCCCGCCCUCCGCCCAAGGAGCCGACCCCGGGUAGCGAGACCCCCGCCCCCGCCAGGCUAGGACGAGCAGCCGCCACCGCUGCCACCGCCGCCACCGCCACCGCCACCGCCGCCGCCGCAGCGCCUCAGUGCAGCCCCGCCUCCGCCGCCCCACCACCUUCACCACCUCCAAGCUCCGGUACCGCCCCUCCCGCCAAUCGGACAGCUCCGGCUACGCCCCCAGGGCUCUAGCCCGCAGCCAAUGAGCAACGAGAGCCCGGCUGGGAGUCGCGCCGGCCAAUCGCAGGGGCCGAGGAAGCCUUGAAUCUCCGGGCAAGUUAAGUUUAUCUCCGAGGCUCGGAGCUGAAGGGAUAUGGCGGUUAGCUAAGUAGUAGGGUAGCAGGGAACAGUUUGCUCUCCUCUGCCAAUAAGAGGACGAGGGUGUGUCAUAUGCAAAUACACUGCCCUCCAAGCCCCACCCCCAAGAUAAGCUACGCCCCCUUCUCUAGGUCCCUGCAAAAGUGGUGAGGAGAAUGAGAUAGUUGGGAGCUAGAGCUCGCUAGAGAGUCUAAGAUUGAGCUAAAUAUUUCCUGAUCUCUCGAGAAAGGGGGAGGGGAGUGGGAGUAUUAAAUGUUCCUUCCUUCAGGGCAGUGGUUAGGCUUUCUCUCCACCAAAAUCUAACUUUAGCUGUAAAGAGGACUGCAGUUAUGUAGCACUUUGUAUCCAGGGAUCUCAAAGAACUUUAUGCAUCAUUUAUUGUGAACCUUGUUUUGCAAAGACUUCAGUUACUUGAGGCUUGGGAGGCGGAUAGGGGAUAAAUGUCUGAGUUAUAUAUACAUUUACGCAAGUAAUCGAGUUUGAGGGGAGAGACACAAAACGUCUGGUUUAGCGGUUUCCUCCUGUUUCUGAAGCACCUUCUAGCAGUUAUCUUAGAGAUGUAAGUUUAUUUACUUGUCCAGCACUAAAAGGCCAAAGGGGCUUGUUUUCUCACCCAAAAGACCUUCCUGAGGCAGCUGUUCGGAUACAUGCAGAGCACAGCGCCCUCCUCAGGAAGGUUCAGAGAACAAAUUGCCGUUUAAAACUAUUAGGACAAACCUGCCUCUUCUAAAGCUUAAAAUGGGCUCCAGCGUACCAGGAUUUGUGAAGGCCUGCAGUUCGUAGAAUGAAAUCUAUGUGGAGAUGAUUUAAAAGAACGGUUUCACUGAGACCAACACAUAUAAACCAAGUCUACACAAGGAACAAGGCUAAAAUCCUUUUGAAAUGAGUUCCUUUAAGUUCUUCAGUAACUAAAUCCCCCAGAAAGGAAAGCCGGGAGAAUCUAGCCCUAUACAAUAACACUCUCUAACAAAGAUUGCUAAAGGAAGAUUUUAGUAGAUGAAUAUCUUCAAUAAUACAUGGUCACAUACAUGUAUCUGACCAUAUGAUGGCUCUCUGCACCAAGUUCCUCCAAACUAUUAUAAUAUGUAUUGUCUGUAGUGCUAUUUAUUUGGCAGUUAAUCAUGUAUUGCCUUGUGACAUUUCUUAUACUGAACCAUUAUGUAUGUGUUUAUGUUCUGCCCUCAACUACUCAAUGCCAGUACCUUAUUCUUAACACAGCAACCACCCUUUCUGGUCUGUUCUCACACCCUCAUUCCCAUCAUAGUUGUUCUCCUCUCUCAUGGAAAUGUUCAGUUUCUAGACAUCUCCUUUCUCUUCCAUUCUUCACCUGACCUUCCUUCCUUUCUUGGCCAGCCUGAAUACCAUAAAGGGAAUUUUAUUUCAAACCCAGGAUCACACUUAAGAGGAAAAGAAGCAAAAGCCAGUUCUUUUUAUUGCACAUAGAACAAGGAGAAACUCCACCUCUUUUGUUGUCUGGUAUGUUUAAAACAAGAAAGAAGUUUAGAAAAGUAGGAUAUGAGUGAAAAUUACAACCAAUGUUGAGAACUACUUUUUAAUUUUUUAUUAUAAAAUUAGGAUGAUACUUCAUUAAACAUUGUACAUCGUUUCAAAACUGUUAUAAUCAUUUUGCUUGUUUUAAAUUACUCUUUUAAAAUGUAAUUUUUUUAAGCAAGGAACCCAUAAAAUCACAUGGCUUGGAUGUACCAUAACUUACUUAAUCCUUAUGCUAUUGUUUAAUAUGUGGGUUGUUUCUGAUUUUUCAUGAUUGUAAAUAACAAAAUAAACUUCCUCAUACUUAAGUUUC